CUUCCUGCUCUUCACCAGCCCUUGAAUCAAACCUUUGACGGCCUGGAAUAGCGGCGCCCAGUCGUUGGCUAGGCACUCCUUGCACACCUCCAUCGAGCAGCAUGAUGUAGGUCUCAAAAUUGGGCGACACGCCAUAUUUCCACAGAUAAAAGUAGCAUAUGAAAACUUACCAAUGUUACAUCCAUUGCCAGCGACGGUUACAUCCAACAAGAUCAGGGUGGAGUCGUGCACCUCUUCCUUGAGGACCUUGUAGCCGGAAGAUGACGAAGGGAUCAGUAAGGUAGGAGCAGAUGUUGCGGAGUAUGGACCCUCUUCUUCCUCUCCUGGUUCCAGCCGCCCCACCACCACUGGCACUGUUGUUGCUCAUGCGGAUAGGACGAUGGAGGAGGUGGCGGAGGAAGCAGGGGAGGGCUUCGCGGCCUACUGCAGGCGCGGCAAGGGCCGGAACCGCCAGGCCGCCUCCGUCACGCCGGGAGGUUGUUCGACGC
rnacentral:lncRNA from 1 species